ensembl:miRNA
UUCCAGUGUUCCGCAGGUUGAGGUAGUAGGUUGUAUAGUUCAGAGUGACACCACAGGAGAUAACUGUACAGCCUCCUAGCUUUCCCUGAGGAAACACAA